UUCUUUCUUCUUCUUCACGAUGCUUUAUCGAGUUGUAUCCCCAAUUUUUCGACCACUAACACCUCCACGUUCAAGUUACAAUUCUCAGUCAGGUGGAAGAUUCUCUGGAUUAUACCUAUCUUUCACAUCUAAAUUCUUUGAAAAAAGAAUGGAAGAUCAGAGCUUUAAUAUCCUGGACAUGGAAUUAAUUAUCCAAAAGAUAAAGCUGGAGUAAUUCUCAUCUAUAGAAUUAUCGAUUUGCAAGUUCUGAUUCCGAAUUACAGUCUCCCACUCUUUCACCUAUUGUUUUAUUUAGCAAUUGCUUAUGGAUCGUGAGGUUUUUACAUCUUUUGUUUAAUGUUUACCAUCUAACUGUAGGGGUCAGUCUCCAACAUGAAAGAAAGAGCUUUCCGCCAAUGCGGUUUCAAAUUGUCUUCUAUGCCAUUUACAAGACAUGAUAUCCUUAUGGUACCUUUACCUCACAUAUGGACUUCUUCUUAUUAAUGGAACGAUUGAUCUAUGUUGUUGGGAGAAUAACAAGAAGAAAAGAGAGAACAACAAUGGUAUGCUAUGCUUUGGUAAAUUUUAGAAGGGCCAUGCUUAGCGUUAUGGUCUAUACAAGGAGAAAGACAUGUGGAAACGAAGUUAAGAAGAAGGAAUUGGCAAGUGUGGAGGAAACUGAAGAGUGAACAAGCAUGUGCAGGAGAAUACAAUUGUGUAUAUAAAGCAUGUAGUCAUUUCUGUGUAGAGUAUGCUCUGUUUUGCUAUUGAAAGGGCGAUGUAUGUGUUGCUUAGUGACAUAGAGCUUGUGUUGGUGAUGUAUGGAUGGUUUUUUCUUAAUUUUAUGAACAGUAUAUC